GUAGAUAUCAGGAGGAACACCGGUGGCGAAGGCGACUNUCUGGACCAUNNACUGACGCUGAGGCGCGAAAGCGUGGGGAGCAAACAGGAUUAGAUACCNUGGUAGUCCACGCCNUAAACGAUGGAUACUUGGUGUCGCGGGNGUCGACCCNUGCGGUGCCGGAGNUAACGCAUGNAGUAUCNCGCCUGGGGAGUACGGUCGCAAGNNUGAAACUCAANGGAAUUGACGGGGGCCCGCACAAGCGGUGGAGCAUAUGGUUUAAUUNGAAGCAACGCGCAGAACCUUACNUGGGCUUGAANUGCAGUGGAAGGAGCAGAGAUGUGACNNUCCGCCUUUUGGUGGACCACUGUAGAGGUGNUGCAUGGCNGUCGUCAGCUCGUGUCGUGAGAUGUUGGGUUAAGUCCCGCAACGAGCGCAACCCCUGCUUUUAGUUGCCAUCAGUUNGGCUGGGCACUUUAAAGGGACUGCCUGGGCAACCAGGAGGAAGGCGGGGAUGACGUCAAGUCCUCAUGGCCCUUAUGUCCAGGGCUACACACGUGCUACAAUGGACGGUACAAAGCGAAGCGAACUCGUGAGGGGGAGCCAAUCGCAGAAAGCCGUUCUCAGUUCGGAUCGCAGUCUGCAACUCGACUGCGUGAAGGUGGAAUCGCUAGUAAUCGCAGAUCAGCACGNUGCGGUGAAUACGUUCCCGGGCCUUGUACACACCGCCCGUCACAUCACGAAAGUCGGUUGCACCAGAAAACGGUGAGCUAACCCUUGGGGGGCAGCUGUUUACGGUGUGAUCGGUGAUUGGGGUG
rnacentral:rRNA from 1 species